UUCAUAUUCAUAAAGUUUUAAGAGUUCAGAAAUCAAUAUUUGGUGGAAUAACCCUGGUUUUUAAUCACAGUUUUUUUCAUGCAUCUUGGCAUCAUGUUCUCCUCCACCAGUCUUACACACUGCUUUUGGAUAACUUUAUGCUGCUUUACUCCUGGUGCAAAAAUUCAAGCAGUUCAGUUUGGUGGUUUGAUGGUUUGUGAUCAUCCAUCUUCCUCUUGAUUAUAUUCCAGAGGUUUUCAAUUUGGUACAUAUAUUAAAUAUAUAUGGUAUAUAUUUGGUAUAUAUAUUAAAAUAUAAAAAAUAAUUUAAAAAUUCAAAUCUACUUGAUUCAAAACUGAAUUUAUGCCACAGGUGAGACAUUCUGGAAAGUAACUUUUUUUAUGAAAAUGUAUCGAUCUUAAAUACUAAAAUGAGAAAAUUGUCAGUUAUUUUAAAAUGUUUUUUAUUUUUAUUUCAUAAAACAGCUAAUUUUACAGAAAAAAACAUGAAUUAUGCCUUUAAAUAUUUAAUUAAAGUUGAUUAAAAUCAUUGAAACAUACAAAAUACAGAUUUAAAUACGUCGGUUAACUUUUAAUUAUGUUUUAGCAAACACAGUAUAAAAAUAGAUUUAAAAAGUAUUUUUACCUUCCUGUUCAGAUGUCAUUUUAAAAAUAUAUUUUUUGUUUAACAGUAUCAGCCUUUCAACAGCUUAGUGUACGAUUUAUCUCUGCUUGCCAUUGCAAAAGUUCGUAAACUUCUCGUAAACUUGUCUUGUUUGUGUAGUUUCAGUGUCCUCAACCUGGCAACCCAUGUUUGCUUCAUGUCUAGGGAGGAAGUGGGCGGGGCAGGGCGGUACAUUGUUUUAAUAUUGGACUGCAGUAGUUAUUUUACAUACUUACUGUCAUUUAGUACAUAUAAUUCCUUUCCAAUUGAAUUUUAUAGAAAAUAAAAGUUCAGAAAACGAUGUUUUUGCCUUGAAAUUAUUGAUUUUAUCCCCCAAAAAUAUACAGUUUGUUAUUGUAAUUGUUUUAUUGUAUUAUAUGUUGUUCUACAUUCAUACAGAAACCCCCAGGUGGAUAUGUUGCCUAAUUGUCAAUCAAUUUUUAAUAAAUUUGUGUAAUAUUGACUUUUUA